AUUGAACGCUGGCGGCGUGCUCAACACAUGCAAGUCGAUCGGUAACAGGUGUAGCAGUACAUGCUGACGAGAGGCGGACGGGUGAGGAAUAUUUGGGAAUCUGCCCAUCAGCGGGGGACAACCCGGGGAAACCCGGGCUAAUACCGCAUACGCUCUACGGAGGAAAGCCGGGGACCGCAAGGCCUGGCACUGAUGGAUGAGCCCAAAUCGGAUUAGCUAGUUGGCGGGGUAACGGCCCACCAAGGCGACGAUCCGUAGCUGGUCUGAGAGGACGAUCAGCCACACCGGAACUGAGACACGGUCCGGACUCCUACGGGAGGCAGCAGUGGGGAAUAUUGGACAAUGGGGGAAACCCUGAUCCAGCGACGCCGCGUGGGUGAAGAAGGCCUGCGGGUUGUAAAGCCCUUUCGGUAGGGAUGAAAGCUCUUGCUCUAAUAAUGCAAGAGGUUGACUUAACCUACAUAAGAAGCACCGGCUAACUCUGUGCCAGCCGCCGCGGUAA
rnacentral:rRNA from 1 species